rnacentral:rRNA from 1 species
UACGAAGGGGGCUAGCGUUGCUCGGAAUCACUGGGCGUAAAGCGCACGUAGGCGGUCUUUUAAGUCAGGGGUGAAAUCCUGGAGCUCAACUCCAGAACUGCCUUUGAUACUGGGAGACUUGAGUCCGGGAGAGGUGAGUGGAACUGCGAGUGUAGAGGUGAAAUUCGUAGAUAUUCGCAAGAACACCAGUGGCGAAGGUGGCUCACUGGCCCGGUACUGACGCUGAGGUGCGAAAGCGUGGGGAGCAAACAGG